UACGUAGGGUGCAAGCGUUGUCCGGAAUUAUUGGGCGUAAAGAGCUUGUAGGCGGUUUGUCGCGUCUGCCGUGAAAGUCCGGGGCUCAACUCCGGAUCUGCGGUGGGUACGGGCAGACUAGAGCGAUGUAGGGGAGACUGGAAUUCCUGGUGUAGCGGUGAAAUGCGCAGAUAUCAGGAGGAACACCGAUGGCGAAGGCAGGUCUCUGGGCAUUAACUGACGCUGAGGAGCGAAAGCAUGGGGAGCGAACAGG
rnacentral:rRNA from 1 species